GACGUGGCUGGCAGAGGCAUGUCAGGCUGCAGAGGUUGGGAAGCAGCACUUUUGGGCUGAGCUGGCAGAGGUGAGUCUGGAGGAGAAGUCCCGGUGCUACUGCAGCUCGCCGUUGACCCAUGCUGAUUCAGCCAUGAAGCAGAAGGCAUCCAACAUCAGCAAGGAGGGUGAGAGAGAAGUGAUGCCAGAGCUCUGGAGGUCAGCUGCAUCACAUCUGUCACCAGAGGAAGCAGUAGAAUGCCAGCUACCCUUGAUUAAAUCUGAACUCUGAAGCUGCAGUGGUCUGAUUUUUGAGAUGAUAGUCUCAACACCCACAAAUGUG